UUAUGAUUCUUAUAAUUAUUGUUUAUGUUCGGUUUUGUCCGGUUCAAUUUUGUUUCCGAAGACAAAAUAUCCGGUAAUUUAAUCUUUUUGAGUUGGCAACCCUAGGUGGGCGGCCUUCUAGCAGAGAAAGUGCGACGAGGAACUAGAGCGUCAAGAGUAGGAACUAGAGCGUCAAGAGUUCAAUGCAGAAGAGAAAUCGCGAGCGGAGAUGAUACGAGGCGGAAGGCGAUUAAAGCGACUAUUAAGAGUGACCUCGAUAAGAUCGCUUGAUGAGAGAAAGGAUAGAGCACAUUGACGAUGGGAUAGCACGAAGGCACUAUUACUGACCAAGGAAUGAUCAAGAGAGAGAGAGAGAGAGAGAGAGAGAGAGAGAGAGAGAGAGAGAGAGAGAGAGAGAGAGAGAACU